rnacentral:piRNA from 1 species
UNUGCAGUGUGCACAGGAUGCAUACAGAGA